rnacentral:rRNA from 1 species
UACGUAGGGUGCAAGCGUUGUCCGGAAUUAUUGGGCGUAAAGAGCUCGUAGGCGGUUUGUCGCGUCGACUGUGAAAACCCGAGGCUUAACCUCGGGCCUGCAGUCGAUACGGGCAGACUAGAGUUCGGUAGGGGAGACUGAAAUUCCUGGUGUAGCGGUGAAAUGCGCAGAUAUCAGGAGGAACACCGGUGGCGAAGGCGGGUCUCUGGGCCGAUACUGACGCUGAGGAGCGAAAGCGUGGGGAGCGAACAGG